rnacentral:lncRNA from 1 species
GAGGAACUAACAUGAAGAAACAAUUUCCAAACUACUUUUGACUGAACUACGCAGCUAAACCAAAUAACAUUAAGCUAACUCCUAGAGAUUAAACUAAUAAAUGACCAAUUAAACAGACUAUGAAAGAAUUCAAACAAGCUAACAAAAUGGGAGUUAACUGAGAAUUAUUUUAACAUUUAAACAAAACGCAAAGAUAGACUGAGGUUACCUAAACUUGAUACUAAACUAAGCUCAACGGAGUUAUAAUUUAAGCUAAAAAACUAAAGAACAAAGGAAUAUAAAACUUAUCAAAAAUGAACAUUCAAAAAAAGCUUCGAGAUUAACUUCAAAUUAAUACUAUACAUCUAUCUCAUUGGAGAUAAACUUAUAAUAUUAACCCGAGUUAACUCGUCUUUG